rnacentral:rRNA from 1 species
GGGUUGUAAAAUCCUUUACAAGGGGACGAGGAAGGACGGUACCCUUGGAACAAGUGUCGGCUAACUACGUGCCAGCAGCCGCGGUAAGACGUAGGACACAAGCGUUAUCCGGAUUUACUGGGCGUAAAGCGUCUGCAGGCGGACAGGUAAGUUGGGCGUGAAAGCUCCGGGCUCAACCCGGAGAGGUCGUUCAAUACUGCGUGUCUAGAGGGUGUCAGAGGGGAGUGGAAUUUCCGGAGUAGCGGUAAAAUGCGCACAGAUCGGAAGGAACACCAGUGGCGAAGGCGGCUUCCUGGGGCAUACCUGACGCUAAGAGACGAAAGCUAGGGGAGCGAACAGGAUUAGARACCCUGGUAGUUCUAGCCCUAAACGAUGGAUGCUGGAUGUGGGGCCAUAGCGCUCCGUGUCGAAGCGAACGCGUUAAGCAUCCCGCAUGGGGACUACGGCCGCAAGGUUAAAACUCAAACGAAUUGACGGGACCCCGCACAAGCAGCGGAGCGUGUGGUUUAAUUCGAUGCUACACGAAGAACCUUACCUGGGUUUGACAUCUAGGUGGUAGCGAAGUGAAAGCGGAGCGACCCUUCGGGGAGCCUAGACAGGUGCUGCAUGGCUGUCGUCAGCUCGUGCCGUGAGGUGUCGGGUUAAGUCCCGUAACGAGCGCAACCCUUGCCCUCCGUUAUACGUGUCAGAGGGGACUGCCGGCGGUAAGCCGGAGGAAGGUGGGGAUGACGUCAAGUCAGCAUGGCCUUUAUAUCCAGGGCUACACACACGCUACAAUGGCCAGUACAAAGGGCAGCGAAGCCGCGAGGUGGAGCGAAUCCCAGCAAAGCUGGUCGUAGUUCGGAUUGCAGGCUGC